rnacentral:lncRNA from 1 species
AGUUCAUGUAAAUGCAGUCCGCUGAUUGGUCGUCUAUUUAAAGUCGGUAAGUAUUGUAUGUUUGCAAGGAUAAAAAGAGAGACGUUCCGAUGGACAUUAUGACCCUGUUUGGUUUUGGCUUCAAGAGAAGGAAUAGGCCAAAGAUGACAAUAGCAUGUUAUGAAAAUAUAUCAGUCAAAUAAAAGAAAGUAUAAUAUAUAUAAUGUUGUCAAGAAUCUGGAAAACAGCACCUUUUGUAGUUCACAUUUCAAAGCCCACGACCACGUGGUGUCCAGAGAAUGAAGGUCAAUAACGAAAGUAGAAUAUUGUCGACCACAAAUAAUUUUUAAAAAUAUCUUUAGUUCAAAAGGAUUUUAGUUUACUGCUUACUGAACAGUUAACAAAUAAGAAAAAAUAAAACGACAUAGCUUGACAACAUGUUUGAAAUACGUGUACAAGUCUUAUGAGAAAAAUUGGGGUCGAUCAUUUGUCACUAUAGUCGCCGUCACGUAAAAUUGGCACCAUGUUUUUUGUCAAAAUUUUCUUAAAUAUCGACCGCGUUUACUAAGUUAUCGGUUAUUCAUUAGCUUGGAACUACCUCAACUGUCCAAAUAUUCCACUACUGUCCUAAAACCUUUUAUUGAUGUUUGCAACUGUAUAUCACUAACACCUAUCACAAUAAUAAAAUAAACCAAUUCACCAGAUAUUGUUAUAGAUAUAGGUGGACAUAACAAUCAUUGUUAUUACCUGGAAGUGUUGUCUAGGCGAGUUUCCACGUGCUCUCCAUUUUUCUUGUGUCUUUCUCGGCGACUUUUGUCAUCUUACGUAAAAGCCGCGCGCAGGGAAAUUGUAUCAUCAAAAUGACAAUAUGAUAUACAACCGGAAGUGUACGAGAUGUUCCAUAGGAAAAAGGGAUCCUCAAUAGAAACAAGAUGGCGUUUUUACAAUGAGUAAAAUAAUAACCUUAGAAAAAUGUGAAGGUCAGGAUUUUAUACAGUGCAUAAACAGUACACUCAAAUACAGGUAGAGACACGUCAAAAUGACUAUUUGAACAGGAUUCUUAUUCCGCUGAAAUGACAAACCAUGAUCUUUAGUAAACGCGGUCGAUAUUUAAGAAAAUUUUGACAAAAAACAUGGUGCCAAUUUUACGUGACGGCGACUAUAAGUACGUACGCAAAUAAAUCGAUCAAGAUAUUUAAUAAAUUCGAUUAUUAUUGAAAUAAAAUUGUAAUAUUUCACCUAUUAUUUCACAGGCACUUGACUGUGUAUUAUUUACAUAUAUUCAAGAACAGAC